rnacentral:rRNA from 1 species
AGGAGUCAACCUAAAAUUAGUUAAUUUUAUAAAGUUUACCAUAUUUAAUAAACAAAUAAAAUUAAAAUUUAAACAAAUGAAAUUUAUUCUAAAAUAAAAAUUUUCACUUAUCUAAUUUUAAGUUAAAUUUAUAUUUUGUACCUUUUGUAUCAGGGUUAUUAAAAAUAUUUAAUUAACUUAACUAUCUCGAAAAUUGGUGAAAUAAAGUUAAUUAAGUUGAUAUUAAAUAAUCAAAUUCAAUAUAAUUUUAGAUUUAAUAUAAAUUCAAACCUUUUAUAUCUAGUUACUAGAAAAUUUAAUUUAAAUAAAAAUUUUUUACAAAGACAAACUUAAUUUGUUAUAAAAAAUUACAAACCAGUGCAGGACAAUCUGCGCAGUUGAGUAUAUCAAUUAAAUUUAUAGCCCACAGUAGUAUUAAAAUUUUACAGCACUAAACUAUAUUAAAAUAUUGGCAAUACUAAUUAAAUUUUAUUUAGAAUUACCAAUUACAUCUAGUGUUUUCAAAAUUUAAUUAUGCUAAAAUCCAAUGAUAAAACUACUAUACUAUAAAAUUUAACUUCUAAAAACUAGGCAAUUAAAAUAAUUUUCAACUGUUUAUCAAAAACAUAGCUUAUAGCACCUCUUUUAAGUAAACUCUGCUCAAUGUAACAUAAAUAGCUGCAGUAAAUUAACUGUACUAAGGUAGCACAAUCAAUUGUUUUUUAAUUAAAAAAUGGAAUGAAGGAUUAAAUGAAAAAUCACCUUAUUUUGAGAUUAAUAAGUAAAACCUAAUUUUUAAGUUAAAAAUCUUAAAUAACAUUUAAAAGACAAGAAGACCCUUUAGAAUUUCACAUAUAAAAUAAUUUUAAUUAUUUACCAUGUUUGGUUGGGGAGACUUUAAAACAAAUAUCUUUUAUAAAAUUUAAUCGCUAUACCGGCGUAUGGGCAACAAUCCAGUUACUGAAUUUUAAUUAAAUUACCUAAGGGAUAACAGCGUAAAAUUUUUAAAAAGUUCAUAUUUACAAAAUUUAUUACGACCUCGAUGUUGGAUUAAGAUAUAUUUUAGGAGCAGAAUCCUAAAAUCCUAGUCUGUUCGACUAAUUAUUUCUUACAUGAUCUGAGUUCAGACCGGCGUAAGCCAGGUCAGUUUAUAUCUUUAAACAGGCAAAUUUCAUUAUAGUACGAAAGGAUUUAAUAAAAUAAAAAUUUU